rnacentral:rRNA from 1 species
CCCUAAACAUAAAAAUCUGCCGGGUAAUACAAAUCUUUAUUUAAAACUCAAAGACCUUGGCGGUGUCUUAUACAAUCAGGGGAACCUGUCCCUUAAUUCGAUACUCCACGUAUGUCCUGAUCCACCUUGAACCUCAGCCUGUGUACUGCCGUCGUAAGUAUGCCUCAAAGAGUUAGCAUACAGUAAUAAGUCUACCUACGUCAGGUCAAAGUGCAGCCUAUGGUGGACUGGUGAUGGGUUACACUCCUAAUAAGGCUACCAAAACCCACUAAAAAAUGGGAGUAAAGCUGGACUUGAAAGUAAUUAAAUUCACUAUAAUAUCAUGAAUGGGAAUCUAAGACAUGCACACAUCGCCCGUCACUCUCGUCGAAAGAUG